GAUGAACGCUGGCGGCGUGCCUAAUACAUGCAAGUCGAGCGAACAGACGAGGAGCUUGCUCCUCUGACGUUAGCGGCGGACGGGUGAGUAACACGUGGAUAACCUACCUAUAAGACUGGGAUAACUUCGGGAAACCGGAGCUAAUACCGGAUAAUAUAUUGAACCGCAUGGUUCAAUAGUGAAAGACGGUUUUGCUGUCACUUAUAGAUGGAUCCGCGCCGCAUUAGCUAGUUGGUAAGGUAACGGCUUACCAAGGCAACGAUGCGUAGCCGACCUGAGAGGGUGAUCGGCGGCACUGGAACGGAGACACGGUCCAGACUCCUACGGGAGGCAGCAGUAGGGAAUCUUCCGCAAUGGGCGAAAGCCUGACGGAGCAACGCCGCGUGAGUGAUGAAGGUCUUCGGAUCGUAAAACUCUGUUAUUAGGGAAGAACAAAUGUGUAAGUAACUAUGCACGUCUUGACGGUACCUAAUCAGAAAGCCACGGCUAACUACGUG
rnacentral:rRNA from 1 species